CCUGAGUGCUGCAGGUGCCACCAGCUAACAUCUGUGUGUACUGUCAGUCCCCAUCCUGGAGCUAACCCUGCUCCAUCUCUGUUGCCACCUCAGUGCACCCUCCUGGCUGUAACCUCAGCUACACCAAGUUUAGGGAAGUGACCAUCCAGCUCCCAGGCAGAUGACAGUAUCAGGGUCCACACACUUUGAAGCCUGUGGGUCCCAUCCAACUUGAACACUUUGCCUGAAUGUGGCCUGGCUCAGCGUGGUUGUUCUGAAAGGGCAGAGCUGAGUGGAGCUGAGACAACGGAGAGACCAAUAACCCAGCCCGAAACAGAAAAGGCCCCCAACACCACUCCCACAGCAAUCUCUCUAAUUAAUUACCAAGCCAUUCAGCAUUUGCCUUCAUAGCUGCAUCACUGUCACCCAUGGCGGGGAAAGUCUCCUCAUUCAGCCUGGCCCAGCCACAUCUACCCCAACAGCCAGCCCCACGGAGAAUCCUCUCCACACUCUCCAAAGGACUGUGGAGGCAGAGAUCAAGAAUGAGCUCGAAUUCAUGAUUCUACUAACAAGAGUGGGGAAAAUGACAAGUUCCUAUGCCUCUGGCAUCUUGGUGAGUACUCAGAAAUUAGUUUUGGUCCAAUCUUUUUCAUCCUUUAUGAAAAUUAAAGCUAGACUUUAGUAUCCACAUGGGAACUCCUGGAAAUGUCCAGGGUUGGACUGGCACUUCACAGCAUCAGCACCCCAGGCUACCCCAUA